CCUACGUGAGGCUGCAGUGAGGAAUAUUGGUCAAUGGGCGCGAGCCUGAACCAGCCAAGUAGCGUGAAGGAUGACUGCCCUACGGGUUGUAAACUUCUUUUAUAAAGGAAUAAAGUGAGGCACGUGUGCCUUUUUGUAUGUACUUUAUGAAUAAGGAUCGGCUAACUCCGUGCCAGCAGCCGCGGUAAUACGGAGGAUCCGAGCGUUAUCCGGAUUUAUUGGGUUUAAAGGGAGCGUAGAUGGGUUGUUAAGUCAGUUGUGAAAGUUUGCGGCUCAACCGUAAAAUUGCAAUUGAUACUGGCAGUCUUGAGUACAGGUGAGGUAGGCGGAAUUCGUGGUGUAGCGGUGAAAUGCUUAGAUAUCACGAAGAACUCCGAGUGCGAAGGCAGCUUACUAAACUGCCACUGACAUUGAUGCUCGAAAGUGUGGGUAUCAAACAGGAUUAGAUACCCCAGUAGUC
rnacentral:rRNA from 1 species